rnacentral:rRNA from 1 species
AUGCAAGUCGAGCGGGGGAAGGUAGCUUGCUACUGGACCUAGCGGCGGACGGGUGAGUAAUGCUUAGGAAUCUGCCUAUUAGUGGGGGACAACAUCUCGAAAGGGAUGCUAAUACCGCAUACGUCCUACGGGAGAAAGCAGGGGAUCUUCGGACCUUGCGCUAAUAGAUGAGCCUAAGUCGGAUUAGCUAGUUGGUGGGGUAAAGGCCUACCAAGGCGACGAUCUGUAGCGGGUCUGAGAGGAUGAUCCGCCACACUGGGACUGAGACACGGCCCAGACUCCUACGGGAGGCAGCAGUGGGGAAUAUUGGACAAUGGGGGGAACCCU